rnacentral:misc_RNA from 1 species
GUUUAGUUUUUAAAAAUUAGAAUGUGAGGAGAAACUUGAAUCUUCCAUAUACAAAAUUGCAUUUUGUAGGAUUUUGCAUCAUUGUUUGAACCUUUGGUUAAAGUGUAUCAAGUUAGCUUAAUGAUGCUUCUUGGGUGGAAAUUUUUUUAUUGGCAUAAGAAUGUCUUGAAUUUGGAUGACCAUUUAGAUAAUUAUGGAACAGAUAUAGUGUCAUGAAGGG